rnacentral:rRNA from 1 species
UUAAUUUGAGAGUUUGAUCCUGGCUCAGGACGAACGCUGGCGGCGUGCCUAAUACAUGCAAGUCGAACGAACUCUGGUAUUGAUUGGUGCUUGCAUCAUGAUUUACAUUUGAGUGAGUGGCGAACUGGUGAGUAACACGUGGGAAACCUGCCCAGAAGCGGGGGAUAACACCUGGAAACAGAUGCUAAUACCGCAUAACAACUUGGACCGCAUGGUCCGAGUUUGAAAGAUGGCUUCGGCUAUCACUUUUGGAUGGUCCCGCGGCGUAUUAGCUAGAUGGUGGGGUAACGGCUCACCAUGGCAAUGAUACGUAGCCGACCUGAGAGGGUAAUCGGCCACAUUGGGACUGAGACACGGCCCAAACUCCUACGGGAGGCAGCAGUAGGGAAUCUUCCACAAUGGACGAAAGUCUGAUGGAGCAACGCCGCGUGAGUGAAGAAGGGUUUCGGCUCGUAAAACUCUGUUGUUAAAGAAGAACAUAUCUGAGAGUAACUGUUCAGGUAUUGACGGUAUUUAACCAGAAAGCCACGGCUAACUACGUGCCAGCAGCCGCGGUAAUACGUAGGUGGCAAGCGUUGUCCGGAUUUAUUGGGCGUAAAGCGAGCGCAGGCGGUUUUUUAAGUCUGAUGUGAAAGCCUUCGGCUCAACCGAAGAAGUGCAUCGGAAACUGGGAAACUUGAGUGCAGAAGAGGACAGUGGAACUCCAUGUGUAGCGGUGAAAUGCGUAGAUAUAUGGAAGAACACCAGUGGCGAAGGCGGCUGUCUGGUCUGUAACUGACGCUGAGGCUCGAAAGUAUGGGUAGCAAACAGGAUUAGAUACCCUGGUAGUCCAUACCGUAAACGAUGAAUGCUAAGUGUUGGAGGGUUUCCGCCCUUCAGUGCUGCAGCUAACGCAUUAAGCAUUCCGCCUGGGGAGUACGGCCGCAAGGCUGAAACUCAAAGGAAUUGACGGGGGCCCGCACAAGCGGUGGAGCAUGUGGUUUAAUUCGAAGCUACGCGAAGAACCUUACCAGGUCUUGACAUACUAUGCAAAUCUAAGAGAUUAGACGUUCCCUUCGGGGACAUGGAUACAGGUGGUGCAUGGU